UUAAUGAAUUAUUAGUGUAUUAUUGCUAGCAAUCUUGCAAAAUCUGGACAUCUAACUUUAUUCUAGAAUUUACCAUGACACUAUAGCAUUACUACCACCAAUAAUCAGCCAUUACAUGAUUGCAUACAUGAUUUAUAUGAUUAAAGAGAGAGAAAUUGCUCAUUUUUGGCUAAAUUGUGCAACAACACUUAGCUUCAUUCUCUCUAGACCAAACCUCCGAAAUUUUCUUACCCAUAAGCUCAUAAUCAAAGCCCAGCCAUCACAAACCACAAAUCAGAAGCAUCAAGAAGUCAGAAAUCAAAAAUCAAGCUUGAAAAGGU
rnacentral:lncRNA from 1 species